GUCCUCUUUUGGUUCAUAAGCAUGAUGAUUGGGUUUUUGCGCUAUUGUGUGAGAUGUGCCUCCCUCAAACCUUGUUACAGUGUCAGCACAUUACCCAUGUGACG